AACGAACGCUGGCGGCAUGCCUAACACAUGCAAGUCGAACGAGAUCUUCGGGUCUAGUGGCGCACGGGUGCGUAACGCGUGGGAAUCUGCCCUUUGGUUCGGAAUAACAGUUGGAAACGACUGCUAAUACCGGAUGAUGACGAAAGUCCAAAGAUUUAUCGCCAGAGGAUGAGCCCGCGUAGGAUUAGCUAGUUGGUGUGGUAAAGGCGCACCAAGGCGACGAUCCUAAGCUGGUCUGAGAGGAUGAUCAGCCACACUGGGACUGAGACACGGCCCAGAAUCCUACGGGAGGCAGCAGUGGGGAAUAUUGGACAAUGGGCGAAAGCCUGAUCCAGCAAUGCCGCGUGAGUGAUGAAGGCCUUAGGGUUGUAAAGCUCUUUUACCCGGGAUGAUAAUGACAGUACCGGGAGAAUAAGCGCCGGCUAACUCCGUGCCAGCCGCCGCCGUAA
rnacentral:rRNA from 1 species